rnacentral:rRNA from 1 species
ACAUGCAGUCGACGAUACUCUUUAGCUUGCUAAAGAGGAAAGUGGCGCACGGGUGCGUAACGCGUAUGCAACCUACCUUAAUCAGGGGGAUAGCCCGAAGAAAUUCGGAUUAACACCGCAUAAAAUCACAGUACAGCAUUGUACAAUGAUCAAAUAUUUAUAGGAUUAAGAUGGGCAUGCGUGACAUUAGUUAGUUGGCGGGGUAACGGCCCACCAAGACCACGAUGUCUAGGGGAUCUGAGAGGAUGACCCCCCACACUGGUACUGAGACACGGACCAGACUCCUACGGGAGGCAGCAGUAAGGAAUAUUGGUCAAUGGAGGCAACUCUGAACCAGCCAUGCCGCGUGCAGGAAGACAGCCCUCUGGGUCGUAAACUGCUUUUAUUCGGGAAUAAACCACAUUACGUGUAAUGUGCUGAAUGUACCGAAGGAAUAAGGAUCGGCUAACUCCGUGCCAGCAGCCGCGGUAAUACGGAGGAUCCAAGCGUUAUCCGGAUUUAUUGGGUUUAAAGGGUGCGUAGGCGGCUUUUUAAGUCAGGGGUGAAAGACGGUGGCUCAACCAUCGCAGUGCCCUUGAUACUGAAGAGCUUGAAUGAACUAGAGGUAGGCGGAAUGUGACAAGUAGCGGUGAAAUGCAUAGAUAUGUCACAGAACACCGAUUGCGAAGGCAGCUUACUAUGGUUAAAUUGACGCUGAGGCACGAAAGCGUGGGGAUCAAACAGGAUUAGAUACCCUGGUAGUCCACGCCCUAAACGAUGAAUACUCGCUGUUAGCGAUACACAGUUAGCGGCUAAGCGAAAGCGUUAAGUAUUCCACCUGGGGAGUACGGUCGCAAGAUUGAAACUCAAAGGAAUUGACGGGGGCCCGCACAAGCGGAGGAGCAUGUGGUUUAAUUCGAUGAUACGCGAGGAACCUUACCCGGGCUUGAAAGUUAGUGAAUCAUUUAGAGAUAGAUGAGUCCGCAAGGACACGAAACUAGGUGCUGCAUGGCUGUCGUCAGCUCGUGCCGUGAGGUGUUGGGUUAAGUCCCGCAACGAGCGCAACCCCUAUGUUUAGUUGCCAGCACGUCAUGGUGGGGACUCUAAACAGACUGCCUGUGCAAACAGAGAGGAAGGAGGGGACGACGUCAAGUCAUCAUGGCCCUUACGUCCGGGGCUACACACGUGCUACAAUGGAUGGUACAGAGGGCAGCAAGCUGGUAACAGCAAGCAAAUCUCCAAAAGCCAUUCACAGUUCGGAUAGAGGUCUGCAACUCGACCUCUUGAAGUUGGAUUCGCUAGUAAUCGUAUAUCAGCAAUGAUACGGUGAAUACGUUCCCGGGCCUUGUACACACCGCCCGUCAAGCCAUGGAAGUUGGGGGUACCUAAAGUAUGUAACCGCAAGGAGCGUCCU